rnacentral:rRNA from 1 species
AGAGGUUUGGGCAAAAAUUAAUAUUUAACCCAGCUUUACUACAAAGCCGAGGCCAAAUUUGUGCCAGCAGCCGCGGUUAUACUGGUACGGCUAGUGAGAGGUGUUAGGUCAGUAGUUAAGUAGAUGGCAGUCUUUAGGCGAGAUUAUAUAGUAAAGGGUGAAAUCUAGUUAAAAAAAUCUUGCUUUUGUUUUUCCUGAGCUGAAACUAAAAAGAUUUAAGUUUAAAAUAGGAUUAGAUACCCUAGUAUAUUUAAUUGAAAUUGAGAGGCCUGAUUAGUAUUAGUUAUGUUCUUGAAAUUUAAAGAAUUUGGCGGCACUUUAGCCCGGUUAGAGGAACCUGUCUUUUAAACGAUAAACCACGAAGUAUCUUACUUUCUUUUGUUUCUCAGUAUGUAUACCGUCAUUAAUAUAAACAAUUUAAAUAGGAAUUAGUUGGAAGGAGCUUCUGAGUUCUUUAGAUUAGAUCAAGGUGCAGCUAAUAAGAAAGUAAAGGUGGGUUACAAUAAUUUUAAUUUAAACGGAUCAAUAUAAAAAGUUUUUGUUGUGAAGGAGGAUUUAACAGUAGGUAAAUUUUAAUAAGUUUUACUGAUGAUGGUUCUGAAGUGUGCACACAUCGCCCGUCGCUCUCAUAACAAACAUGAGAUAAGUCGUAACAGAGUAGAUGUACUGGAAAGUGCAUCUAAGAUUAA